GAGGGUGUAGCUCAGUGGUAGAGAGCAUGAGGUCCUGGGUUCAAUCCCCAGUACCUCCA
rnacentral:tRNA from 1 species